rnacentral:sRNA from 1 species
UCUGUGUAUCUGUUUAACAGACUGCAUGUUUAAACACGACAUCACAGACCUUUGUUCACUCCGUAGCAUCUCUGCUCAUCUUUUUUUCAACUAGCAUUUUGAAGCUAGAUUUAUGGAUACUACUAUUAGUUAGGUCAUUUGAUAACCAUGAAAAUUUUAUUUUUAUCAAUUUUCGUCAUUUUUUUCUUCUUUUUUUUUUGCCAUUUCAAAAUAACUCUACAUAAAACAAUGAAGAAGACUGUCACUUCAAUCAGUUGUAUGGAAUAUGAUCGUUUUAAUAAUUUGAUAUUGGUAGACUAUGAAUGUGGAUAGACUUGAUACGUAGUCUUUUCUAGGUUCAACAAGUGUACAGUCUUCAUAGUGAAAAUAAUAUUUCUUGUGCAUUUAAGCAUUUAAUAGAAAAAAAUGGUUAUGUGUUGUGUGAUAGUUUGCUCAUAAUCUUCAGACAAAAAGAGGGUGGGUUUCAAGGUUAUGAAUGGAGGGGGAAACUGAAAAAAUUUGAAUAAAAGAUGAUAAAGAGAAUCAGCUUUGUUACUUCUCAGAUUUAAUAUUUAAGCCAAGAUCUUGAAAACCAAUCUGUGUAGUAGCUACAACUGUAAACUGUGUAGAAUUAGUAGGUCAUAAACCAGUCAUGUCAUGUACAGAUCAUGUAAUAUACAUCAUAAUAAAUUAAAGUGAUAUAAA